ACUGCGUGGCUGGAUGCCUGGCUGCUCUGCUCUGCAGGAGGCCAGUCCCAGAUAUUUCCAGGCUGGGGGAAAAUUGAAGUAGAAGGAGUUUCAUGGAGCCACACUAAGGCAUACUGUUUAAGACUGACAAAAUAUUCAUCAUAGUUGAAGCUGAAUGAAGGGGGAGGAGAGAGCAAGAGAGAAGAGGAUAGUAAAAAUGGAGAAGGAAAGAAGCCAUGGAGUGACUUGAAAGAGCAGACCUAUUGGCUCUAGGAAGAAUAUGCUGAUUCGCUCUUAUCCCCACCCCCCAAUCAAUAAAAAGCCUUAUCAUCAGGUUUGUGGGCUGGAUGACAACAAGCAAACUAUACAACAUCAGCGAAUAGGAAGUGUGGAUGCCACAUGGCACCAAAAUGCAAGAAUAAUUUGAGGAGCAUAAUUAUCCAAGGUGGCAGUUUGAUGAAGGCAUGGAGGUUGACACUCCUAAGCUUGAGUAAAGUGUCCUGGAAUCUGAGUGGUUUUAAAUGGUCCACAUUUCAAGUUCCUGCCUCACCCCAAAGUUGUGGCAGCUCCCUCAUAACAAGGCCCACCUGGGCACCUGCAGCCCUGGUCCUCAGGGCAGAAAGCCACGUGCUGAGUCAUCAAUCCCUCCCAAAGCUCUGAGCCACAGGCUAUAGGACAAUGCCACCCUGACUUCCUUUGCCACCGUGACGAAAACAUUAUUCUGGGCAGAGUGGCUAGAAGGGAGCGCCGCCAGCUGAGGUUUCAACAAGACCUUUUAACGUAACACGGCUUUAUUAAAAUGAGCAACAAGCUUUUACAUUCAUUGAUCUGUAGAAAUGGACUUAGGGGUCAUCUGGUUUAACUGCUGCGUUUUAUAGGAUGUGGAAACAGACCUGGAGAAGUUACACCUCUCGCUAAAGUCAUCCAGCUGGCCAAACCAGAAAGAAACCCAGGACUCCUGACGAACUGUUUCCCCAACCGCCCCCUAGUAGAGUGUUCUUUCCAUUUCAGGACAUCCCCCCACCCCAUUAUUGCUGUUGUCCUGGGAGUGCAUUCUUUUGAAAUAAAACAA